rnacentral:rRNA from 1 species
AUGAACGCUGGCGGCGUGCCUAAUACAUGCAAGUCGAGCGAACAGACGAGGAGCUUGCUCCUCUGACGUUAGCGGCGGACGGGUGAGUAACACGUGGAUAACCUACCUAUAAGACUGGGAUAACUUCGGGAAACCGGAGCUAAUACCGGAUAAUAUAUUGAACCGCAUGGUUCAAUAGUGAAAGACGGUUUUGCUGUCACUUAUAGAUGGAUCCGCACCGCAUUAGCUAGUUGGUAAGGUAACGGCUUACCAAGGCAACGAUGCGUAGCCGACCUGAGAGGGUGAUCGGCCACACUGGAACUGAGACACGGUCCAGACUCCUACGGGAGGCAGCAGUAGGGAAUCUUCCGCAAUGGGCGAAAGCCUGACGGAGCAACGCCGCGUGAGUGAUGAAGGUCUUCGGAUCGUAAAACUCUGUUAUUAGGGAAGAACAAAUGUGUAAGUAACUAUGCACGUCUUGACGGUACCUAAUCAGAAAGCCACAGCUAACUACGUG